UACAUUUCAAUCACUAGCUAUCAAAUGUUCUCUAAUGCAUAAGUUAAGAGACUAGUCGUUUGAGUGCGAUUCAUGAAGUAUGUAUAGGAUCGGGUGAGGAAUUUUGUCUGUAUAUCAUAACUCAUAUAUGCUUAUAGUUAUAAAUGUUGAAAGGGUUUGUGUAUGCGAGAGGAAUGAGACUGGAAUUCUCUUCUACGUUGUUUUUCCUGUAUUAUACAUGAAAAUCUAUUUAUCUUCUCUAAGAUGCAUUUUCUCUCCUUUCAUAGAGAAGAUAAAUAGAUUUUCAUCCUAUGAAAACGUGUUUGCAUAUAUUCGGUAGGUAAACUGUUAUGAUCUUCUUCUUUCCACGUGAUCGGCGUGGGAUAAAGGUAACAAGAUCUGUGACAACUAACACCAAUUAUAAAAACAGGCUUCUAUCAACAAAUUCAAACAGCUUCAGGUAUAGACAAAAAAGGUAAGUAAAUUAAUACUUCAAAUGUCGCUGAGUAGUGGUUAAUUCACAAAAUUCUUUUUUAUUUUCCUUCUAGAUUAUCUAGACAUUUAGCUAUAUAUUAUAUACGAAGUUUUGCCCGGAUUUGUACUGAUGGGACAUUACGGCAAGUUGUUUAGUUUUCCUACCUCCAAAUUCCAAAACUAAGUUCAGUGCUCACAUCUCCCUGAAGCUUAUUGUUUUUAUUUCCUCCAAACCUUCACUGUGACGAUGACUUUUCUCAUUCUUCAUCAACGUCGAUAGCAACUCUUAAAAUCCUUCUCCACCAAUCUCCUCUUAAUCUCAUCUUUGUCAGCUGACAAUGAUAUAUUAACAUACUAAGAAUAAAAGUUAACUGUUACCGGUUAAUACUUAAUAGUCAUGUUAUCUGGAUAUGGAACCAAUAACGAUUCUUUAAGAAAUAUGUAACAAUUGUGAGACUACUAACAAAAAUCUAAUCAAUACUAUACAUACUUGUUAAUAUU